GUAAGUAUUAACGUUGAAUACAUAUUUAAAUUCUUACUUUCUUAAACUAAAGCAACUAUAAUCAUCUGUAAUCUCUUUGAAUACUUACAAAUAACAAUGAAAGACCUCAUUUAGAAUGUACAAAAACAUACCAUAUUGGCACUGUAAAAGCACAUUUUUUUAACCAAAUUAUGUUGAAAUAUUUUAUAUCUUCUACUCAAAUAAAGAAGAGUAAUACAUGUCUUAAGUAUUGCUGUUUCAAUAUAAUAAUUAUGGACAUCUCUAAAAAAAAAACAAGUAUUUUUUAGGUAAUAUUUACAACAAAAUGGACUAUGAAAUUGCAUAGGAAUUGGAACAUAUUGCACAACAAAAAAACAAAAUCACAGUCCGGUCAAUUGUACGGCAUUAUUACAUGCAAAUGUAUUAAGUAUUCAUAAAUAUAUAACUUCAUACAAAUGAACAGAGAAAAAAAUAAACACAAAAACUUUUCUUUUACAAACGAUAACGUGAACACUGACAGACAUAAUAUUACAUAACAUGUUUGUCUAAAAUAUAUUAUAAUAUGAAUUUUUAAAGUAAUUAUAAUAAUGAUAAUGCUUAACCGAUAGGGCUGAGAAUUUAAAUAAUCAUAAAAAAAAAAAACCAUUUUACUUGGGCUACUUAACCUAAUUGUAUGUAACAUCAUUUGACAAAACGCAAAAAAAAAUAUUACAUGUUAAAAAAAUUGCUUUAUAGCACCAAAAAACUAAUUUUUUUAAAAAUAUUUAUAAUUUUUUACUAAAAUACUAGCUCACGAGUAGCGGUGCCAUGUAUACAAUAUAUGAUAAUUACGUUUGGAUGCUUAGAAAAAAAAAAGAAAAAAACAAAACAAAAACAAAACAAAAUUAGACUAUUCUUAUCACAAUAAUGCCUGUUAACGACGAUAGUGACGAUAACAUUUAUUCAACAAUAUUAGUAUUAUUAUAUAUUUAUAUAUAAAUGUCAUUGAGAGACAAAGACAAAGGAUACAUUUUCACAAUCGUUUUUUUUUUCUUUUUUUUAUAGUUGUAUUUUAAGCACAAAGAACAUAGUAAUAGUAUAUCAAUUAAACAAAAAUUUAAGUCUUUGUAAAUUAUUGAAAAUGGCAUCAAAUUAUAUGGAAAAGUCUAUAAAAUUAUUUAACACAUGCAAAAACAAUAAAUUAAAAUUAAUACUGAACAAAAAUUAAUCAAAGUCAUUGCGAUUAAAAAAAAA